rnacentral:lncRNA from 1 species
CUGAUGUAAAAAUGUAAACACUGCAGUGCUAUUUCACGGGGGAAUCAGAUUGUUUGCUCGGAUCUGCUCAGACACUAAUUAUCACUACAAAACAUGUAAUACUUGAUUCUCCUUGCAGUCACUGUCGGCUAUGGAUGUGUGUACACAGAUUCAGAUGAAGUCUUCUGUCAGUCAAGAGCUCUUUUGAUCAUCGACGCCUCCUCAAACUCCCACAGCUACACACAGAGCUGUGGAUGUGCUGAUAUUAUCACCCUGGCAACAUCACGAGCCACUGAGGACUAAAACAAAAGAUCUGCUUGAAGACGCUGGUCUCUGUGAAAGUCAGUGCUGGCGCCCUUCGUCGUAUGGUAAUCGUCCUUGCUUGCAGAAAGGAGGGAUGGCGGCCAAACAGGACUGGAUUUGAUCUGCGUCCAGGUCUCUACUGAUAACCCCAUCGAUCUUACUUGAUUUAGCAAAAAAUGGCCUCACUAAUGACACCAGAGGGGGUGGCAAAUUCACUACCUUGACAGAUGUCCAAAUCACUGGUAAACAACAGAAAACGGGUGAAAAGAAAUAAAUGACCAUUUCAAAUCGGCAGGGAGGUUGAAAAUGUCUGAAGACAUGCCAGGAAAGGAAGUAGAGCUUUGAUUGGAGCUGGAAACGGGGAAUACAGGUUCAUAUUUUCUUUGGAGGAAAGAUGUCGCCUCAAUGAGCCAAUGAAG